AGGACGAACGCUGGCGGCGUGCUUAACACAUGCAAGUCGAGCGGAAAGGCCCUUCGGGGUACUCGAGCGGCGAACGGGUGAGUAACACGUGAGUAAUCUGCCCCUAGCUCUGGGAUAGCUCCGGGAAACCGGGAUUAAUACCGGAUACGACCACUUUAGACAUCUUUUGUGGUGGAAAGAAUUUCGGCUAGGGAUGAGCUCGCGGCCUAUCAGCUUGUUGGUGGGGUAACGGCCUACCAAGGCGACGACGGGUAGCCGGCCUGAGAGGGCGACCGGCCACACUGGGACUGAGACACGGCCCAGACUCCUACGGGAGGCAGCAGUGGGGAAUAUUGCGCAAUGGGCGAAAGCCUGACGCAGCGACGCCGCGUGGGGGAUGAAGGCCUUCGGGUUGUAAACCCCUUUCAGCAGGGACGAAGCGAAAGUGACGGUACCUGCAGAAGAAGCGCCGGCUAACUACGUGCCAGCAGCCGC
rnacentral:rRNA from 1 species